AAGGGAAUAUUGCAAAAUGGGCGAAAGCCCGAUGCAGCAACGCCGCGUGGGCGAUGAAGGCCUUCGGGUCGUAAAGCCCUUUUUGAGGGGAUGAGGAAGGACAGUACCCUCAGAAUAAGCCUCGGCUAACUACGUGCCAGCAGCCGCGGUAAAACGUAGGAGGCGAGCGUUAUCCGGAUUUACUGGGCGUAAAGCGCGUGCAGGCGGAUUGGAGAGUUGGAUGUGAAAGCUCCCGGCUUAACUGGGAGAGGUCGUUCAAUACUUCCAGUCUUGAGGGCAGUAGAGGGAAGUGGAAUUCCGGGUGUAGUGGUGAAAUGCGUAGAUAUCCGGAGGAACACCAGUGGCGAAAGCGGCUUCCUGGACUGUAACUGACGCUCAGACGCGAAAGCUAGGGUAGCAAACG
rnacentral:rRNA from 1 species